UACGAGGGGUGCAAGCGUUGCUCGGAAUUAUUGGGCGUAAAGGGUAGGUAGGUGGUCUCAUUUGUCAGGGGUGAAAGCCUUGGGCUUAACUCAAGAAGUGCCCCUGAAACGGUGAGACUAGAGUUCUGGAGAGGGUCGUGGAAUUCCCGGUGUAGCGGUGAAAUGCGUAGAGAUCGGGAGGAACACCAGAGGCGAAGGCGGUUCUCUGGGCCUGUACUGACGCUGAGGAGCGAAAGCGUGGGGAGCGAACAGG
rnacentral:rRNA from 1 species